rnacentral:rRNA from 1 species
GACGAACGCUGGCGGCGUGCUUAACACAUGCAAGUCGAACGAAGUGGCGAACGGGUGAGUAAUACGUGGGUAACCUGCCCUCCUUUUUGGGAUAAGCCUUGGAAACGGGGUCUAAUACCGAAUCGAGGGGGAUGGGCUCGGGGCACAUUAGCUUGUUGGUUGGGUAAUGGCCUACCAAGGCGGUGACGGGUAGCCGGCCUGCGAGGGUGACCGGCCACACUGGGACUGAGACACGGCCCAGACUCCUACGGGAGGCAGCAGUGGGGGAUCUUGCACAAUGGGCGAAAGCCUGAUGCAGCGACGCCGCGUGUGUGAAGAAGGCCUUCGGGUUGUAAAGCACUUUUAGCGAGGAGGACAUACUUGCAGAAGAAGCACCGGCUAACUCCGUGCCAGCAGCCGCGGUAAUAC